GACGAACGCUGGCGGCGUGCUUAACACAUGCAAGUCGAACGGAAAGGCCCCUUUGGGGGUACUCGAGUGGCGCACGGGUGAGUAACACGUGAGUAACCUGCCCUUGACUUCGGGAUAACUUCAGGAAACUGGGGCUAAUACCGGAUAGGAAUCCUUGCUGCAUGGUGGGGGUUGGAAAGCUUCGGCGGUUUUGGAUGGACUCGCGGCUUAUCAGCUUGUUGGUGGGGUAGUGGCUUACCAAGGCUUUGACGGGUAGCCGGCCUGAGAGGGCGACCGGCCACAGUGGGACUGAGAUACGGCCCAGACUCCUACGGGAGGCAGCAGUGGGGAAUAUUGCACAAGGGGCGGAAGCCUGAUGCAGCAACGCCGCGUGCGGGAGGACGGCCUUCGGGUUGGAAACCGCUUUCAGCAGGGGCGAAGCUUGUGGUGACGGUACCUGCAGAAGAAGCACCGGCUAACUACGUG
rnacentral:rRNA from 1 species